CUGGAACCGCGCUGGGCCGCGCCUGGACAGCCGCGCCGGGCUGCCUUUCCCACUGCGCCCCAGACACGUCCCUGUCUUCUCGUCCCUUCUCCCAUCUCCACCUUGUCCCGGCCUCCAGCUUCUACCUGUGGGCUUGGGGCCCAGGAGUGAAGGCCCAGCCGCAGCUGGGAGGGCUGAGCCGGACACCCGGUAGCGGACGGGGCAGUCAGCCGGUCCGGGCAUCAGCCCCACGGGGCGCCCGCGCUGCGACAACCCGUCCGUUCUGGUCCAGGGGGGGGCGCCCGGGCGCUGUGCUGGCCCUUUGUCUCCGAUGUCUCUGGAGAUGCCUGCGGAGCGGGUGAACGGAUGACCUUCUAGCUGGACGCCUGCAGGCUCCCGAGUAAGGGAACCAGGCCGAAGCCAGCAGGGUUCAGGAGGCUUCUGAACCCGACCUCUCAGUGGGCGGGGUGUAGACCUGGAGAUCCAGAAGCCAAUUUCUAAUAGAUUCUAGGUGUGUUAGGAGACAGUGGUACAUGAGAAACUCUAAAGUAUCAAAUGGCUUAAAUGUAUGUCCUGAAUUACGCAGCGGGCCAGGUGCUUCCGAGAGAUACACUUGGGAUGCGCAUUCAACCCAGGAGACCCCGUCCCUGCCCUGGGCUGGACACUGAGAGGACGCAGGGGUGGUCAGAAGCGGCUUCCCUUCCUCCAGGCAGACACGACACAACCAGAGAACAACUGGGGGUCAUCCCUGGUCAGUCCUCAGAGCACAGAAAAGAAAAUCUUUGUAAAAGCCCUCAAAGGCCUUCUCCACAGUGGAGGCUGGGAAAGCAAGCAUCUGCUAUUUUCAGCUUCUGUGGCGUGAAGCGAGUUCUGCCAGGAAGGAAGAAGGGAGGAGGGAAUUGAUCUUGGGUCCUCCAUCAACGCCUGCCGGCUUCUCAUACUCCGGAGAGUCUCACCUGCCAGCUCUCCUUUAUGACCCUGCCUCUCCCCAUGGCUAAGGAAAUCCCGCUCCUAACAGACAGUCUUACUCUGUCACCCCUGGUAGAGUGCCCUGGUGUCAUAACUCACAGCAACCUCAAACUCUUGGGUUUAAGCCUUCCUCCAACCUCAGCCUCCAGAGAAGCUGGGACUAUAGGCAUCCACCACAACACCCAGGCAACAUCUCACUCUAUUGCCCCAGGGUGUCAGACCAGCUCACAGCAACCUCAAACUUGUGGACUCAAGGGAUCCUCUUGCCUCAGCCUCCCAGGUAGCUGCCACCACACCCAACUAAUUUUUCUAUUUUUUAGUAGAGACAGGUGUCUCCCUUUUGCUCAGGCUGGUCUCAAACUCCUGAGCACAAGCAAUCCACCUCCCUUGGCCUCCUAGAGUGCUAGGACUAUGGGCAUGAGGCAUCAUACCCAGCCUUGGGCAUCACAUUUUAAUUCUGAAAACCCACUGUUAAACACAAAUAUUUUCUAUUUGAAAUCUGUUCAAUAAACUUCAAUUUCAUAUUUAUAGCAAAUUUCAGUGAUUCAUACCCGAUCUUUAAAAUAAACUCAUGACAAACUCACUACAGCUUAACCACUGCACUCGUCAGAUGCACCAUAUAAAGAACUCACAUCUGCUUAACACGAUUUUAUUUUUAUCUGUAUUUCUACUAAGAUUAACACUGUUCUUCAAUUGACCACAAUUACGAAGGCUGAUAAUGGGGAUCUGGAGUCAACCGCAAAUACUGUUUGUGGGAAUGUAAACUGGCAGUCUUUCUGGAGCCCGAUCUGGCAAUUUAACAAAAUCUUACAUACACAUACGGUCUGACCAAGCAAAUGCAUGUGUAGAUUUGUCAAACAGAAAUAUCAACACAGUGAACCAAAAUCUAGAAACGAAACUCAAGGCAACAGUGGGAACAGUGACAAUGAAAUGGGCCUGUGUGCAGGAGAAAGGGAACAGAGCACGCCUGGGAUUGCCAUCCUCAGACCUGCCUGCAAGACUGGCUCGGGGCUCACCUAGAAACCUGGCUGGCGGUCAGCUCCCUAUAAUGGUAUAAAGCUUUUCCUAAAAAUCCAAACCCAGGUAUACAAAAUCACCAAAGAACUGAUGUCCUACAAGCUGGAGCCACCUUGCACUGGGGCUUGUCUGAUUUUAAAAUAUACUUUUCUUCUUGUUUAAGCAUUUGAAAGUGGGGUUUUACUGCUUACAAAGCAUUCCUCUGGAUUCCCCUUUCUAGCUUAUAUGAAGAGACACUGGGAUUUAUAGGCCUGAGCCCAGGCUUUGUAGCUACCAGAAGUGUCACGCACUACCUUUGUGAAUGUGAGCAAGGCACUUACCCUCCUGAGGUGCAAGUGAAAAGCUACUGAUUUUUAAGUGCAGUUGUGGAAAAAUAGAGAGUAACUCAUUGUGUUAGCUGCACGUUUAUAAACGUCAAUGAUCAGAGAAGUCCUAGCAAACAGUCUGUGAUACACAUGGACAAUGAUGGAACUCCACCUCAGUGAGCCCUAACCCAAAAACAUCUGAGUCCUAGAAAUUCUGCCCAAUGUCCACAUUAUGAAAACGACCUCAUCUGUUACCAGAAACAUCGGAUUUUGGUCAAAGGAAAUAAUUACUUUUAGUAGCUAACCUGAUAGCAUAAUCUAAUAGGUGAAAAUUUUAUUUGGGUCAGUGUUAUUUAGUAUUUUGAUUUUAAAAUAUUUUAUAUAGAUAGGUUAAGUACACAUUUUCACUUGCAGGAUAUAUGCAGAUUUGAAUUCUAAUCUUCAACCCAAACUUUAAAUCCCUGAAAAAUACAAUGGUGGAAAACAACACAGAGUAAUAAUCAAUAGUAAGACAGGCUAAGCCAACCACAGCACUGGGAGAUGGUCUGCUUUGGGCAGUAAUUCAAACAAUAUGGAACAAGCAAUCUCCAUUUAAAUUAACAGAGAGGCACAGUCAUGAAGCUCUGAAAUUUCUUUUCCUGUGACUAUAAACUAUUGUGUACCAGAGGCACAUUCUGAAAUUUAAAUUACUAUUCUUAAAGGUUAUAUUAGAAAAAGAAUUAGUAUUUAUUAUUCUUAAAUAACUUAUUGACCAAUGUCAUAUAUAAAUAGGGGACAAAUACAUAUGUCUGUGUACAAACUUCAAUGUAUAUACACACAUAGACCAACAGAAGCUUUCAAACAAGCCCUAAAGAGUAUUUAAUUAAUUACAGAGGUAGAAAAUAAUUUGUGAACUUAAGUUAUCACACACAUCAGUGGUUCUCAACCUUCCUAAUGCC